GCCGGGCGUGGUGGCUCGCGCCUGUAAUCCCAGCACUUUGGGAGGCCGAGGUGGGAGGAUCACUUGAGGCCAGGAGUUUGAGACCAGCCUGGCCAACAUGGCAAAACCCCGUCUCUACUAAAAACAAAGAUUAGCUGGGUGUGGUGGUGCAUACCUGUAAUCCCAGCACUUUGGGAGGCUGAGGUGGGAGGAUUACUUGAGGCCAGGAGUUCGAGACCAGCCUGGCCAACAUGGCGAAACCCCAUCUCU
rnacentral:sRNA from 1 species